CGAGACCUCAGGUCAGGCGGGGCUACCCGCUGAAUUUAAGCA
rnacentral:rRNA from 1 species